rnacentral:lncRNA from 1 species
UGAAAAUAUUAGUAUGACAAUGCAUGAACAAGGUGAUUACAAUUUAUACCCAUGUGGGGGUGUAAAAAAAUGGCAGCAGUUUAUUUCAUUUAUUCUAAUUUAGGAAUAAGUGAAAGAAAAUUAUUAGAAUUACAGAAAAAAAUUCUAGUGAAAAUUCUUUUAUAAAAUUGUGCUCUGGCAAUUUUUAUUUUAUGGUAAACUUUUUAUAUUACAGUAAAAUCCUGAAAUAAUGAUGUUACUAAUUUAAAUAAUGUAUUGCACCAAUAACGUGUUUAUUUAUAUUUCUUAACUGAAGCAGAUGUGAUUGAUCAAAAUUAUAAAAUGGAACCUACAGCUUUUAAAGAUAUCUAUGUUAGUUUCAUGUUAAUUUUAUUCUUAAUGUUAAUGUACAUGUGUCAAAUGAAUUCUUUCAAACAAGAAUUUAUAUGAUAUUCUUACAAAUGUAAAAUAUGUAAAAUAUUAGGAUAACAAACUGAUACAACUCAGAUUGCCAUGAACACAAUUUUCAAUGUAUUAUUUUGCCAUAAAGCUUAUGUUCCCCUUAGUAACUGCUUCCAGCAGGCAGUUUAAGAAAAAAAUCUAAGCUAGACUUGUGUAUUUAUAUAUACAUAUUUCAGAUUUUCUUUCAGGAGUCAUUAGUCCUAUUUAAGAACUAAACAAUGCAAAAUAAAUAAAGCUUUGGCUUGAAAUAUGGUUUGAAUGUCAAUGUAGAAAAUGUGCACCAAUAUGGCAUUUUAACAAUGUACCAUGAUUUGAUAAUUAAAAUAUUUAGUCACUAAAGCUAUGACACAUCUUGUGCUCCAUCUGUUUGGUCAUCAGAUUGUUGUAUAUAAAUCUGCUGUCCACUUUGUCCAGGAAGCUGUUGAAUUUGGAACAUUUGCUG